UCGAGGGGCAGCGAGUAGAUUGCUUGCAAUCUACGUCGGCGACCGGCGCACGGGUGCGUAACGCGUAUGCAACCUACCCAUUACAGGGGGAUAACACUGAGAAAUCGGUACUAAUACCCCAUAACAUCCAGGGAGGCAUCUUCUUGGGUUGAAAACUCCGGUGGUAAUGGAUGGGCAUGCGUUGUAUUAGUUAGUUGGUGGGGUAACGGCUCACCAAGACGACGAUACAUAGGGGGACUGAGAGGUUAACCCCCCACAUUGGUACUGAGACACGGACCAAACUCCUACGGGAGGCAGCAGUGAGGAAUAUUGGUCAAUGGACGCAAGUCUGAACCAGCCAUGCCGCGUGCAGGAAGACGGCUCUAUGAGUUGUAAACUGCUUUUGUACGAGGGUAAACGCAGAUACGUGUAUCUGUCUGAAAGUAUCGUACGAAUAAGGAUCGGCUAACUCCGUGCCAGCAGCCGCGGUAAUACGGAGGAUUCAAGCGUUAUCCGGAUUUAUUGGGUUUAAAGGGUGCGUAGGCGGUCGGAUAAGUUAGAGGUGAAAUCCCGGGGCUCAACUUCGGAAUUGCCUCUGAUACUGUUCGGCUAGAGAGUAGUUGCGGUAGGCGGAAUGUAUGGUGUAGCGGUGAAAUGCUUAGAGAUCAUACAGAACACCGAUUGCGAAGGCAGCUUACCAAGCUACUUCUGACGUUGAGGCACGAAAGCGUGGGGAGCAAACAGGAUUAGAUACCCUGGUAGU
rnacentral:rRNA from 1 species